rnacentral:lncRNA from 13 species
AGCAAAACACUGCCAUCUGGUAGUGAAGUGGGAAAUUAAAUGUAUUGUAGAAGAUCUUCAGGAUAGAAGACCUUUAGUCUUGUGGUCUUGUGUGUGAUAUAUAAUCUCUUUGGUUGUAAAUUGGCAUCUCAACGGUAACACUGAAGUUCCCAUUUUGAUUAUUGCAGUUCAAUGGUAAUUGUCGAGAUAUCAACCACUUGGAUGUUUUGAAACUUGUACAAAAGAAUUAAUGAGGAAGAAGAUUAUAGAUUGGAGCAUUCAAUCCGAAGAACUCAAACUGUUAAGCGCAAGUUUUAUAAACGCGGCUCUGCUUUGCUGUGAGCUGUAAUACAUCAAUAGUUGUACGAUGUUUGUCCUGAUCCAAUUUAAUUUUGUUACGAUUAUGCUGAUAUGUAUAAUAAACGUCACCGCUAUGCGCCCAAACAUCUUGCUGAUCAUCGUAGACGAUCUGAGGACUACUCUGGGAUGCUACGGCGACAGUAACGCAUACACUCCGAAUAUAGACGCCCUGGCAGACAACGCCAUUGUUUUCACCGAGGCAUUUGCGCAGGUCUCUACUCCUUGUGAGAUAAUCUUGACUUUCGAGCGUUUUGUACUUCUCACUCGAUGUAGGUACCUGAAUAAAAUAAAAAUCAUCAUGAC